rnacentral:lncRNA from 1 species
UGAACUGCGAGCACAAUUUUUCUGAUCUGUUAUAGAUACAUUGAAAAGCCCUCAGCAGAGAUUAGCACAGGGGAUCUGUCAUACAGAAGACAUCCUUCACCAGUAACUAAGACAUGGUGCAGGCUCCUGCCCAAGGUCACUUCCGCCUGAUGUGCACUCUUCUUACGGGCUAGUCAAAUUUUCCCAGAGGACCUUCCUUCCUGCACACUAGCCAUCAUUUUCAGGUAGCAGCUUUUCCCCAGUUCCUUGGAAUUCACAUCCAUUUUGGCUCUUCAACCCUCCCAGAAUUGGAAUAUGGUCACCGAAACCCUCUGUUUCCUUCCAACAACUCUUGGCUUAGCGACAAGGGUCAGAAAGAGGAAGAAGAUAGGAUCAUCCAUUAUUCCCUGAAUGCACACCCACAAUGACUUAAAGACUUCUCAUGAGGCCCUCCCUAAUAAGGUUCUUUUCAUUUAUC